CUCUGUCCAGCAGUGUGGUCGGUCGGUCGGUCGGUCGGUCGGUCGGUCGGUUGCAUGUUUU
ensembl:miRNA